CCCCUUUUAAAAGCACUCAGUGGGCUUUUGCUGAUGACUCACCGGUCCGUCAGGAAGGGGCUGAGUGAAAACACCACUUUUGAGUGAAGUGGCAACAUGAUGUUGUUUACCUUCAAUCGGUGUUGUGACACAA
ensembl:snoRNA LOC120102016 small nucleolar RNA SNORA21